rnacentral:rRNA from 1 species
UACGAAGGGGGCUAGCGUUGUUCGGAAUCACUGGGCGUAAAGGGCGCGUAGGCGGCCGUUCAAGUCGGGGGUGAGAGCCUGUGGCUCAACCACAGAAUGGCCUUCGAUACUGGACGGCUCGAGACCGGAAGAGGUCAGUGGAACUGCGAGUGUAGAGGUGAAAUUCGUAGAUAUUCGCAAGAACACCAGUGGCGAAGGCGGCUGACUGGUCCGGUUCUGACGCUGAGGCGCGAAAGCGUGGGGAGCAAACAGG